CACAAACAAUAAAGCACUUGAGGUUUUUCUGUGCUAUGCACAGUUUUUUACAAUGUGUCAAAUAUAUCAAACCCCAAAUCUGAAUGUGUUUUAUUUGUAUUUUAUGUGAUAAACUAACACAAACUACAACAUAUUUUUGUAGUAUAAGAAAAGAUGAAAAUGUUUUCAGGAUUUUCUUUAUUUUACAAAUAAUCUUAGAAGUGUGGUGUGUAAUUGUAUUUGGUAAAUUGUAAUUGUAUUUAAAUAAAAUCCAGGGCCUUCAGAAGUGACCUCAGUUGUAAACAGCUGUAAUUGCAGUGACAGAUGGUUCUACUCAGAGUAAGGCAGGGCAAUAAAAGGCAUGAAAAUAAAUCUGCUGACUUUUUCAUACUACAUCUUUUUCGAUUUUAACGGAUUUCUUUCUUGCUUUUUUCCUCCAAAAAAUUACAAAUAACAGAAAACAUUUUAGAAGUGCCUUUUAUUUCAAUCAUUCCCUUGUACAACAGUUUCUUCAUGAGAGUAUAGUCAUAAUAUUAGCAAAACACAGAUGCAAUUUUACCAGAAGAAAAUCUUAAAAUUAUGAGGAAUAAGUUAUUUUAAUGAUAAAAAGCUUGGAUAACUAAUUUGUUUUGUGUUGGAGUUCUAAUAAAUUUACUACUUCAUUCUCAUAAUAUUCUGACUAUAUUCUUGUAAGAUUAUGACUUCACUCUCGUUAUUACAAAAAAUAUCUUAGCCUGACAUCACUCCAAACUAUGAAAACCCAAGGAGAUCAGUGGUGAAAAAGAAAUUCAGAUUUAACUAACCUUCAAAAAAAAAACUUUGAAAAACAUACAUGACAUUUCCAAGCACUUCACAAUCAUGCUUUUUGUGUUGGUCUAUGAAAUAAAAUC